AUGCUGCUGAAGAGUCCAAAACUAGGACGAAACAGCUGUCCAGUAC
rnacentral:hammerhead_ribozyme from 1 species